rnacentral:rRNA from 1 species
AGGUCCUGCCUGCCCAGUGACUAUGUUAAACGGCCGCGGUAUUUUGACCGUGCAAAGGUAGCGCAAUCACUUGUCUUUUAAAUGAAGGCCUGUAUGAAUGGUGGAACGAGGGCCUAACUGUCUCCCUUUUCAAGUCAAUGAAAUUGAUCUGCCCGUGCAGAAGCGGGCAUGUAGAUACAAGACGAGAAGACCCUUUGGAGCUUAAGAUUAAAAGUCAACUAUGUCAAAUAUUUAUUAAAUAAAACCAAAUAGUAACUGACCAUAAUCUUCGGUUGGGGCGACCACGGAAUAAAAACAAACUUCCACAUGGACUGAGGACUAACCUUAAAACCAAGAAAGACAUUUCUAAGUCACAGAAUUUCUGACCACACAGAUCCGGUAAAUUGCCGAUCAAUGGACCAAGUUACCCUAGGGAUAACAGCGCAAUCCCCUUUUAGAGUUCCUAUCGACAAGGGGGUUUACGACCUCGAUGUUGGAUCAGGAC